AUUGAACGCUGGCGGCAUGCCUUACACAUGCAAGUCGAACGGCAGCACGGGAGCAAUCCUGGUGGCGAGUGGCGAACGGGUGAGUAAUAUAUCGGAACGUGCCCAGUCGUGGGGGAUAACGUAGCGAAAGCUACGCUAAUACCGCAUACGAUCUAUGGAUGAAAGCGGGGGAUCGCAAGACCUCGCGCGAUUGGAGCGGCCGAUAUCAGAUUAGGUAGUUGGUGAGGUAAAGGCUCACCAAGCCGACGAUCUGUAGCUGGUCUGAGAGGACGACCAGCCACACUGGGACUGAGACACGGCCCAGACUCCUACGGGAGGCAGCAGUGGGGGAAUUUUUGGACAAUGGGCGCAAGCCUGAUCCAGCAAUGCCGCGUGCA
rnacentral:rRNA from 1 species